CCUACGGGAGGCAGCAGUGGGGAAUAUUGCACAAUGGGGGGAACCCUGAUGCAGCGACGCCGCGUGAGUGAAGAAGUAUUUCGGUAUGUAAAGCUCUAUCAGCAGGGAAGAAAAUGACGGUCCCUGACUAAGAAGCACCGGCUAACUACGUGCCAGCAGCCGCGGUAAUACGUAGGAGGCAAGCGUUAUCCGGAAUGACUGGGCGUAAAGGGUGCGUAGGUGGUUUGACAAGUUGGUAGCGUAACUCCGGAGCUCAACUUCGGAACUACUACCAAAACUGUUGGACUCGAGUGCAGGAGGGGCAACUGGAAUUUCUAGGGUAGCGGUGGAAUGCGUAGAUAUUAGGAAGAACACCGGUGGCGAAGGCGAGUUGCUGGACUGUAACUGACACUGAGGCACGAAAGCGUGGGGAGCAAACAGGAUUAGAUACCCGAGUAGUC
rnacentral:rRNA from 1 species